rnacentral:rRNA from 1 species
CGCGUAGGCGGCUUGGCAAGUCAGAUGUGAAAGCCCCGGGCUUAACCCGGGAAUUGCAUCUGAAACUGCCUUGCUUGAGUCCUGGAGGGGGUAGUGGAAUUCCCAGUGUAGCGGUGAAAUGCGUAGAUAUUGGGAGGAACACCUGCGGCGAAGGCGGCUACCUGGACAGUGACUGACGCUGAGGCGCGAAAGCUAGGGGAGCGAACGG